AUUUUAGUUUCGAAGAACUUACUCCGGAGAACAAGCAUCAAUAUCCAGCAGCGGAAGCAUUAAUCACAGAUAUUAUAGUACUCGAGAUCAGGUUUGAACCAUCAUGAAACACCCAGAUUAUUAAAAUUGAAAUCCAGAAAGGAAGAGGAAGAACGAGGAGUCGUAAUUCCGAUUCAUUAAAACCCCAAACUAGAUAGGUUUCGAAUUCUAACUCAAGAAAAUCAAACAAUCAUAUUUUAUUAAAACGCACCGUUUUUCCUAUGCUCAGUUUUAGGUCUGAAGCCAAUUUCGAAACCUGAAGAAUGAUGUUUUUUUUUUUUUUUUGAAUUCUGUUCAAUUUUAUUGAUUGAAUUUAAGAACAUGAACCCAAGGCUCUGAUACCACAUGUUAAACUUAUUACACCGAUCAGAUUCAGUUUUAUAAAUCACAACCAAGAUCAAAACACAGAACACUAAUCCAUAUAAAAGUAAAACAUACUGACCUGAAGAAUUUCCAUUGAAUGCAGCCAUGAGUGUUCACUGCUAAUCUGAACGCAACAACUCUUCUUCUCUCUGUCAGGCUCUCUGUCAGGAUACUAUUGCUCUAACCAAGAAUAGGACUCAGUUCCAACAAGAGCGCGCACCUGUGAGAGAAGAGAUUGCCAUAUAUAUAUAUAUGUACACACAUAUCCUUCUCACAUUAGAAUAUGGAUUCCCUAUUAAAAUCCUUAUAGAAAACUACUUAAGUCUUCCUAAUUCAAAUCAGUUUAUCUCUGCAAUAGAAUCCUCUACUGCUAAGAACUGAAUUCCAUCUUCUAUAAGGUUUUCUUAUUCUUAUUGGACUCAAACAACUAAUGCCCAAUCAUCUUAUCUCAUAUUCAUUUUCUUACAGGUCAGGGAACGAAGCAUCUGGAGUCAGGUAUGGCAGCAGG
rnacentral:lncRNA from 1 species